rnacentral:tRNA from 1 species
ACUAUUUUGGCAGAUAAGUGCGAUGGAUUUAGAAUCUAUUUAUGUGAUUUUUUUGGCACAGGUAGUA